UUCGUCCUUGUCUUGCGAGUCAGACGAUCCGUCAAAUGGCCAUCCGUUCCCCGGGACAGUUUCCCUACGCAGAAAAUGGAGUCAGUCAUGCAAUAGGUGAGUUUAAAUGAAAAACGAGUCGAAGAAGAAUUACCCCCAGCAACAACAAAAAAACGGAAAGAAGAGUCAACAAAAGAGAUACUUGUCCGGACGUGAGCAAAACAUUAAGAGGGGAAAAUGUAAGAGCUAAAA